rnacentral:pre_miRNA from 1 species
GCAUGGCGGCGCUUUUGGUGUGGCUGAGUCUAAGGUGUUUGGGAUUAGUCCACUUCCAACCACCUAAAACUCAGCCACACCAAAAGCGCCGCCAUGC